rnacentral:rRNA from 1 species
AAAUUGAAGAGUUUGAUCAUGGCUCAGAUUGAACGCUGGCGGCAGGCCUAACACAUGCAAGUCGAACGGUAACAGGAAUCAGCUUGCUGAUUUGCUGACGAGUGGCGGACGGGUGAGUAAUGUCUGGGAAACUG